GAUCAAAUUGGGUUGGGUGCAGCUUUUAAUGGAGCAGGCGGUCCCUCAGACGUUACUUGACGUCCCGCUGAGUCCGUGUUUUGCUGCAGAGCUGAAUCUUGAUGUGUGGUUGGUUUUGUGUGCGUUAAAAAAGAAUCAGAGUCAGGUUGGUUUCUGCUGUGGCUGUCAGAAAGGAAGCGAUGUUUGCUUUCAUCACGCUGUGAUCAGAGCAGCAGGAUCUGCAUGGCCUCCUGGGUCACAGAGGUGGUCUUCAGCUAAGAGACAACACGGCGUGGAAAGUUGAAAAAAUUGCUGCAUGGUAGACAGCUCGAUGCCCUCGCUGUUUCAUGUGUGAAAGACAAACUCAAUGUAACUUUGAAAGAAACACUCGAAUCCUACAGUUUGAGAUGAACAGGGAGUCCUGGUUGGGAAGAAGCAUAUUUUUGUUUUCAUUUAAAAAUCUAUCAACUUUUUGUUGGUUUUCAGUUUGUCCCCAGCGCUACAGUCAGGGGGGGCGGGGGUCAGGAGCAGGGGAGCAUCCCGGAACACUCAGGCUAAUGAAGACUGACUGGGACGUGCACAUGUUGUCUCACCCUGCAGUUCUCCGGACGUUGGAAGCAGCUGGGUAUAAACCGUCCACGAAGAGGCAGAGUUCACUGAACUUUUCUGCCACACUUUUGGACAACAUUCUUCUGGUGAGUGUCAUGGUGAAUUAACACAAAAAACCUCCCAUGAUGACCAAAUACAGAAAGUGUUUAAAGCCUAAACUCCAGGAAGUCAGAGACUUUUAUGCACUUCUUAACCCUUGUGUUUCCACAUUAUGUUCUUUCUUUAACCCUUGUGCAAUCUUAGAUGACCCCACCCUUACAUUUACGUGUUCUCCCUACCAUGACAAAGGUGGAUAAAGGUGGAAAGAUUUCAUGUAAUCCAUGGACACCAGUGAGGUUCAGAAAUCAUUGAAGAAAAAAGGUUCAGCGUCUAGUGGGUCUAGAUGACCCAACUCCCAACGUUAAAGUGCCUAGGAUGGCACAAGGGCUAGACAUGCAAGAAAAAAAAAAUAAAAAGGCAGCAGAAAUGAGAAAUAAUUUAAAACCACUAUUAAUAGGAAUCCCCUUUUUUGCCUAUUCCAACCCUCCCAGAAAUGUUUUUACAAGGUUAUUACACAGAGAAAUAAAUUACAGAAGAGGAUUAGUGCCAUGGAGAAAGAAAGAAAAUGGCAUAGAAAAUUCUGACUUUAAUCUCAGAAUUCUUAGAAAAAAGCCAGAAUUCU
rnacentral:lncRNA from 1 species